rnacentral:rRNA from 1 species
UAAAAUAAUUAAGGGCACACAAAGGAUGCCUAGGUAGUAAGAGCCGAUGAAGGACGUGGUAAGCUGCGAUAAGCCUAGAUAAGUUGCAAUCGAACGUAAGAGUCUAGGAUUUCCGAAUGGAGCAAUCUAUUAAGAUGGAGUCUUAAUACGAAAGAGGGAACCGCGUGAACUGAAACAUCUAAGUAACGCGAGGAAAAGAAAGUAAAAACGAUACCCAAAGUAGCGGCGAGCGAAAUGGGUCAAGCCUAAACCUUAAAUAUGUCAAGGAUACAGCCGUUGUAUUUAGGGGGUUGAGGGACAGAGUAGUGAAGAACUGUAAGAUAUUCAAUAUAGUGUAUUGAUGAAUUGGAAUUGUCUGGAAAGGCGAACCGUAGAAGGUGAAAGUCCUGUACAAGUAAAUCCUUACACAUAUAACUCUGCUCCCAAGUAACAUGGAACACGAGGAAUUCUGUGUGAAUCUGUGAGGACCAUAUCUCAUAAGGCUAAAUACUCUUACUAACCGAUAGCGCAUAGUACCGUGAGGGAAAGGUGAAAAGAACCCCUGGAGGGGAGUGAAAUAGAACCUGAAAUUGUGUGCUUACAAGCGGUCAGAGCCAGUGAUGGUGAUGGCGUGCCUUUUGGAGAAUGAUCCUGCGAGUUACGUUAAACGGCGAGGUUAAGUAUAACGGAGCCGAAGGGAAACCAAGUCUUAAUAGGGCGAUUUAGUCGUUUGGCGUAGACGCGAAACCUGGUGAUCUAAACCUGUCCAGGAUGAAGCUGUGGUAAGACACAGUGGAGGUCCUAACCCACCGCCGUUGAAAAGUUGGGGGAUGAGGUAGGUUUAGGGGUGAAAAGCCAAUCGAACCAGGAGAUAGCUCGUUCUCUCCGAAAUGCAUCUAGGUGCAGCCUUGAGUGUUCAAUUAUGGGGGUAGAGCACUGAAUGAUCUAGGGGGCGUAUUGCUUACUGAAAUCAAUCAAACUCCGAAUACCAUAAUUUAGAGCUCAGGAGUGAGACUAUGGGAGUUAACUUCCAUUGUCGAAAGGGAAACAACCCAGACCACCAGCUAAGGUCCCUAAUUAUAACUAAGUGGGAAAGGAGGUGGAGAUUCACAAACAACUAGGAGGUUGGCUUAGAAGCAGCCAUACCUUUAAAGAGUGCGUAAUAGCUCACUAGUCGAGAGUCUCUGCGCCGACAAUGUAACGGGGCUAAGUUAUAAACCGAAGCUGUGGAAUCCGUAAGGAUUGGUAGGAGAGCGUUCUGUAGGCCGUUGAAGGAGAAGGGUAACCGACUCUGGAGGUAUCAGAAGUGAGAAUGCAGGAAUAAGUAGCGAGAAAGGGGGCGAGAAUCCCCCUCGCCGGAAGACCAAGGUUUUCAGGGUAAAGCUUGUCUUCCCUGAGUAAGCCGGGACCUAAGCCCAGGCUAUAAUGCGUAGGCGAAUGGAAAACAGAUUAAUAUUUCUGUGCCAGUCAUAUAUUGUGAUGGAGGGACGCAGAAGGGUAUGCGCGCGGACGAACGGAAGUGUCCGUAGAAGUAUGUAGGAUGACUUGAUAGGAAAAUCCAUUGAGUUAUAUCUGAGGUAUGAUAUACAGUCGUAAGAUGAAUGCGCAAAUCCCACGCUGCCAAGAAAAGCUUCUAACGUUAAUAUUUGACUGCCCGUACUGCAAACCGACACAGGUGGUCAGGAUGAGAAAUCUAAGGCGGACAGGCUAACUCUCGUUAAGGAACUCUGCAAAAUAACCUCGUAACUUCGGGAGAAGAGGAGCCCUUGAGGGUCAGUAUCCACGCGAUACAAAGCGCUCGAGGGUCGCAGUGAAGAGGCUCAAGCAACUGUUUAACAAAAACACAGGUCUAUGCUAAGCUGGAAGGCGAUGUAUAUGGGCUGACACCUGCCCAGUGCUGGAAGGUUAAGAGGAGGAGUGAGAGCUCCGAAUUGAAGCCCCAGUGAACGGCGGCCGUAACUAUAACGGUCCUAAGGUAGCGAAAUUCCUUGUCGGGUAAG